rnacentral:rRNA from 1 species
AAUGGCAGGUACAGAGGGCUGCGAAGCCGCGAGGUGGAAGCCGAAUACCCAGAAAACCUGUCUCAGUCCGGAUUGAAGUCUGCAACUCGACUUCAUGAAGGCGGAAUCGCUAGUAACCGCGAAUCAGCAGGUCCGCGGUCCGAAUACGUUCCCGGGCCUU